UACGUAGGGUGCGAGCGUUGUCCGGAAUUAUUGGGCGUAAAGAGCUCGUAGGCGGUCUGUCGCGUCGGAUGUGAAAAACACGGGGGCUCAACCCCGUGCCUGCAUUCGAUACGGGCAGACUAGAGUUCGGUAGGGGAGACUGGAAUUCCUGGUGUAGCGGUGAAAUGCGCAGAUAUCAGGAGGAACACCGGUGGCGAAGGCGGGUCUCUGGGCCGAUACUGACGUGAGGAGCGAAAGCGUGGGGGAGCGAACAGGA
rnacentral:rRNA from 1 species